GGGGAUCCUGUGGAAGUCCGGAUGGCGUUGUUGAAGUCCGGUUGAUGCUAUUGAAGGUUGAUGGCUAGAAAGGUUCGGCAGACACCGGAGGCGGUCGGCCAUUGUGGAAAUCCAGCUGCUGGAGCCCAUCUGUUGUAGAAGUUCGUCCGGGAUCCAUCCGCUAUGGAAGUUCAGACGGAGUUCGAUUCUUGCAGAAGGCCGAAAGGAGGCCGCUUAUUGUAGAAGCUCGAUCAAAGAUCGGUUGUCGUGGAAGCUCGGAGUAGUGACCUGGCUGGUGGAGCCUGUCCCA
rnacentral:lncRNA from 1 species